GCGGCAUUAGUACAUCGGUAGUGCACUAGCUUCCCAAGCUAGGAAGGCGGGUCCGACUCCCGUAUGCCGCU
rnacentral:tRNA from 1 species